rnacentral:lncRNA from 1 species
AAACUGGGUACGGUUGUGCCAGGGUACGGUAGUGACAGUCGCAAUUGUAACGAAACUAUACGUAAUACGGGAAAGGGGUGUAGGGAAGAAAGACGUGGCUUACAAGCCUAAACACGUUCCCCAAUAUUGCGUUAGCCGGCGCACUACGUUGACGUAAGCAGGAGCUCACAUUGCUUUUCAACAAUCAAAAAUGUCCAGAAUACGUUUGUGGACGACCGAAAGAGCGCAGUGUGAUAUCAAAAAAUAUAAAGAUGCCGAUGAAGAAGCGAAACAAGGGAUUUCGUACGUGUAGCUCAAGCUAGAAGCCUUUCUACAGCUACAAGUUUGAACAGAGCAAAUGUUGUUUUGUUGAUUGUUAAAACUAUGUUUUUAAGCUUAUUAUGUUAAACAUUUCUUCAAUAAAAGAUAUAAUAGACCACUUUGA